UCUUUUCUGAACCCUGUUACAGUCGCUCCCUGACUUACACAAUCGUUCCAUUUCGGAACACCUUGCGUAACUCGAAUUUUGUGCAAGUCGGAAACGUAUACCCGACCAUUACGCAAAAAAAACAAAAACCCAAACCCCUCCUAUUUCUAGUUUACGGAACUUUUAAGUGCAGAUUUGCAUAAGUUGGGUCUUGCGUAACCUGGGGAGUGUCUGUAUUAGUAUUA